GGGGACGACCGGAAUUGACAGCUUGCUGAGGUCGCGUGUAAGCAUGCCGGGAGUUGGCGGAAUUUCCCGACCCGAACAAAUCGUCAAAACAAUAACUGGCGAGUAUAACUACGCCAUGGCUGCUUAAUCCGGAGGAUUAAACAAUAGCCAUUGUCUCCCCGGCCUACGUGCUGCCGGCUGGAUCAGGAGGCAUCGAAACGCAGCGCUGGCUCGGUUUAUGGUGUUAACGGCCGAGUGAGAAACAAGCACCUACGGAUGAGGUUUGGUUUGGUACACACCGGGCCGAUUCCCGACAAUCUUAAGGGUACCUAAGCAUGUAGAAAGCGCGUCGGUUUCCUUGACUGGACGAGGGUUCAAAUCCCUCCGUCUCCACUU
rfam:Spirosoma sp. 48-14 SCNpilot_cont_300_bf_scaffold_1098, whole genome shotgun sequence.